UACGGGGGGGGCAAGCGUUGUUCGGAAUUACUGGGCGUAAAGGGCUCGUAGGCGGCCAACUAAGUCGGACGUGAAAUCCCCGGGCUCAACCCGGGAACUGCGUCCGAUACUGGAAGGCUUGAAUCCGGGAGAGGGAUGCGGAAUUCCAGGUGUAGCGGUGAAAUGCGUAGAUAUCUGGAGGAACACCGGUGGCGAAGGCGGCAUCCUGGACCGGUAUUGACGCUGAGGCGCGAAAGCCAGGGGAGCAAACGGG
rnacentral:rRNA from 1 species